GAUGAACGCUGGCGGCGUGCCUAAUACAUGCAAGUCGAGCGAACAGACGAGGAGCUUGCUCCUCUGACGUUAGCGGCGGACGGGUGAGUAACACGUGGAUAACCUACCUAUAAGACUGGGAUAACUUCGGGAAACCGGAGCUAAUACCGGAUAAUAUAUUCAACCGCAUGGUUCAAUAGUGAAAGACGGUUUUCCUGUCACUUAUAGAUGGAUCCGCGCCGCAUUAGCUAGUUGGUAAGGUAACGGCUUACCAAGGCAACGAUGCGUAGCCGACCUGAGAGGAUGAUCGGCCACACUGGAACUGAGACACGGUCCAGACUCCUACGGGAGGCAGCAGUAGGGAAUCUUCCGCAAUGGGCGAAAGCCUGACGGAGCAACGCCGCGUGAGUGAUGAAGGUCUUCGGAUCGUAAAACUCUGUUAUUAGGGAAGAACAAAUGUGUAAGUAACUAUGCACGUCUUGACGGUACCUAAUCAGAAAGCCACGGCUAACUACGUG
rnacentral:rRNA from 1 species